rnacentral:tRNA from 1 species
CAGGGAGACAACAAAAUGUAAAUAUUAAUUUUGUCACCUUAGGUCGAUCGGUAUCUCACAUUCUUAAUUUUUAAGAAUUUUAGUUUCUAAGUUUUUUCUAGGUCACACCCAUCACUUUUUCCUGGGCCAUUAGCUCAGGUGGUUAGAGCGCACCCCUGAUAAGGGUGAGGUCCCUGGUUCAAGUCCAGGAUGGCCCAUAUCUCUAUGUUGGGGGUAUAGCUCAGUUGGUAGAGCGCCUGCUUUGCAAGCAGGAUGUCAGCGGUUCGAGUCCGCUUACCUCCACUGAUUACCACCUCUUGCAUAUAUUUAAAGAUGGAAAAUGUUUUGAGUUGUGUCCUAAUUUACUCUGAGCGAAUCUAGCCUCCUAUUUUAUUCAAUAAAUUAAGAUGCUGGACUCAUUGAAUCUUUAUUCAUUGUUUUCAGAGAACCUUGACAACUGCAUAGAUUAUUUUUGAAGACAAUAAGCAUCUUUUAAGGUGCAGAUUUAUUAUUUGUGCGAACGCAUUAAAUAACAAUUCUAUUAAGCUGAUGCUUCAAUUAUUGAAGUUAUU